rnacentral:rRNA from 1 species
GAUGAACGCUGGCGGCGUGCCUAACACAUGCAAGUCGAACGGAGUCCAGCCUUUAAGACCUUCGGGUCAAAGAGGGGAAGACUGAGUGGCGGACGGGUGAGUAACACGUGGGCAACCUGGCUCAUAGAGGGGGAUAACAGAGAGAAAUCUCUGCUAAUACCGCAUAAGCACACACUGCCGCAUGGCAGAGGGUGAAAAGAGAAUCGCUAUGAGAUGGACCCGCGUCUGAUUAGCCAGUUGGCAGGGUAAGAGCCUACCAAAGCGACGAUCAGUAGCCGAUCUGAGAGGAUGAACGGCCACAUUGGGACUGAGACACGGCCCAAACUCCUACGGGAGGCAGCAGUGGGGGAUAUUGCACAAUGGGGGGAAACCUGAUGCAGCGACGCCGCGUGAGUGAAGAAGUAUUUCGGUAUGUAAAGCUCUAUCAGCAGGGAAGAUAAUGACAGUACCUGAAGAAGAAGCCCCGGCUAACUACGUG